GCCCAGAUGGCGGAAUUGGUAGACGCGCUAGCUUCAGGUGCUAGUGUCCUUGCGGGCGUGGAGGUUCGAGUCCUCUUCUGGGCACCA
rnacentral:tRNA from 2 species